UGGACAGCCCUACAGAACCCUAGAAACAUAAGCUAAAGACAAACUUGAAGACUAUUGACGUGGAUGCCCCACAUACGGUUUGAGAUUUCCCCUCAAGAAACAACUAAAAUCAUCUUGACACCAGUUGUUCACUGACCAGCAGCAAAAGUCAGUGAGACACAAUAGCAGCAGGUCUCAUCAGGUUGCCGCCUGUGGCCUCUGCUCCAGGUCAAACUAGAAUCCUACAAGCAAUCACCGGUCCCUGUUUGACUAUUUCUUAGACCAGUCUGAGCUGUUUGCUCAGUGCUGCCUGUGAGUACUCUGUCCACCCAGCUGAAAAUUGGCAGAGCUACUCUGAAGAUUGUGCCCGACUCGCUUUCUGGGGUGAGGUGAAGGCAGAGAGAUGCUUUAAGGUUCUUCUUACAGGACUGAGUCAUGGUAAUGGUGGACUUUUGUGGGAGAGUUCUGGCCUGCUAGAAAAAUAAAAGGUAACUGAAAGAUACAGGACUCCAGGAGCUCAUCCAGACACUGGCUUUGAUCCCAAGAAAGAACUUUGGUCAUUUCCCUCUUGGCUGCUUAUACACAGUUAACUACACGCUGAUCACACUUCAGCCAUUAGUCUUUGCUCUUAAGUGAAAUUAAGACAGACUUGUGCUCCUAACCCUCAUUUGAUUCCCAUUUUUGGGGGACAUCUAUUAGAUAGUCACUGGGAUGGCUUCAGAUCUUUCAGGGACGCAGUCCUGGAGGCAGCCAUCUGAAGAUACAUUUUACUUAGAAAGCAGACUAUAGGUGGUUACCCAAAUUUCUUAGAUUCUCAGCAGUGUCACUGCAUCAUGGUUAGUGUUCAAGCUAGUUAACAGCUAAGUGCUUACUAGUUAACCAUCAACAUGCCAGUUGACAUGAUGGGACUUUUAAGACUUUAAAUGUACUUUAUGACAAAAGUCAGAUUCUUCAAGUUGUGACCUUUCUACUCCAGCCUGGCAGGCAAGGCUAAGCAUAUAUGUGUGAGAUAACUUUAUAUGUAAAGCACUUGAUAUUAAAGGCAUAAACGUGAGAUUGUUAAAUGUGUGUAGAGAGACAUGUUGAAUAUAUGGGACAGUCCAUGCCUUACACCAGAAAGUUUCUGGUCUGAGUGACAUCUGGCAAAGGUUACACUGUAAAUAAACUGUGAGGCCAACUUCAUAGUACUCAUUGCUUUGGACAGGAAGUUCCCUUGGUCUGUCCCAGUCAUGCAGUAAGUUCCAUAAACUGCCAGGAGAGCUCAGUCUUAACUCCAGAGGCUCCACAGGAGAACCCCAGUGUGGGAAUGCUAAAGAAACAGUAAAAACACAACUUUUACAAACUGUAAACAUUGAGUACCUCAAUGUAUUUUGUAAGGCCAUAAUGUCAGUGUGUUUUGGUACUUCACCCCUCCUGUCGUUCUUUCUAUUCCUGUUCAGCCUGUUGAACAGAACCAACCACCAGGGAGCGGGGAGAAAGUGAAGUUUUGGAGUAACUAAGAAGCCGUGGUUAUAAACAUGAUUAGGUCUCAGAACUAGCGGUGGGGAGGAAACUACUUAGGUUGAAUCAAGAAAAGUCUGUGAAAAGAGCUCAGUAGGGCUGGAGAGAUGGCUCAGUAGUUAAGAGCACUGCUCUUCCAGGGGUCCUGAGUUCAAUUCCCAGCACCUAUAUGGUGGUUCACAACCAUCUGUAAUAGGAUCUGAUGCCCUCUUCUGGUGUGUCUGAAGACAGCUACAGUGUACUCAUAUAAAUAUAAAUAUAUCUUCUUUUAAAAAAAAAAAAAAGAGCUCAGUAGAACACUAAAGUGCCCCUUCCAAGCUGCCUGGUCUCUGUCAAUCAAAGGGAAUGGGCGGGCCCUGGCUUGGAGGUGUACUGAGGGUCUUCUCCAUUGUUAGUAUAUUUGGGGGAAAUCUAUAAUCAACAGAGGAUAGGAAGUAUACCAGAAAGGCUUGUCUGCCCAGAUUCUGUGAACCAUGGUACCAUCGUUGUUUUCCCACUCAUAAAUCCUCUAUGCUUAGACAAAUAGGGACUCAGUCCACAGGAAACACAAGGUCUUGCAGAGAAGGGGAGCAAUCUCAGAGUUUGCAAAGCGUUGCAAGAUUUACGUUUGCUCUGUCUUUGCUUUCUCUGCUGCCAGUCUCUGGUCCAUUUAUACUGAAGAGAUAGUGUUUGAAGAUUCAUAGCUGUGAAUGUUUGUUGAUUUAAGAUUUUACUUAGAAUUGCCAACUUUAUUCCCAAUAGGCAUUCCAGUAGGCAAUGCUGAUCUGUUUAUCGAAAGGGAACUUCAUCAGGCUCAUCUUGCCGUCCUCAUGGAAGACUCAUUCCGUCACUGGAGUGACAAUGCUGAGACACUCAAGACAGCAAACUUGCCACAGAGCCCUUUUCUGUGUCCCACUAUGAGCAACCC
rnacentral:lncRNA from 1 species